CAAAUAUUAUGUACUAGUAACUACAUAUAUGUACUCAAUGACUUGCAUUCAUUUAACUUGUAAUAAUUAUGAUGCAGCAUCCAACAAAAAGUAUGUAUUUUUUAGCUCACCUGGCCCAAAGAGCCAAAUGAGCUUUUCUCAUCACUUGGCGUCCGUCGUCUGUAAACUUUUACAGAAAUCUUCUCCUCUGAAACUACUGGGCCAAAUUUCACCAAACUUGGCCACAAUUAUCAUUCGGGUAUCUAGUUUAAAAAAUGUGUCCAAUGACCCAGCCAACCAAC
rnacentral:lncRNA from 1 species